AAUGAGAACUACAUUUCCCAUAAUGCAUCGGGGGUGCGUGGGGAAAGUACGGAACUGUCUGAUAAACAAUACGCUUUACUUUCAUUUUCAUUUUUUAUGCUGAGUAACGUGAAGACGAAAUGACUUCUCUGGAUAUUGGAGUCGAGUCGAAGAAACAGGUUGAUGACUUCUGCCAGAAGCUCAACAAAGAGGCUGAAGUGCUGGUUUCAAAAAUCUUCCCUCAGAAGAUUGAUGAUCUAGAGGUGCUUUUGAAGACAUCUUUCAGUUGUGACUUGGCAUCCUUGAAAGCACCACUUGACAUCCCAAUGCCAGAC